CCUUGGAACUUCCUUUGAAUGGUUGUUGGGGGCUGUGUAUGACUUGGGGAUAGCAUGCUGUGUUGGAUCACAGAUAUAAAUAUAUAUAAAUAUACACUUUUCUUUAGACUAGUCCCCUCACCUGCCAAUUACCUGCCAGAGAUGGAUCCGCCACCACCGCCUAACUCGCCGCUGCUGGCCCCAGCCCCGGCCCCGGCUCCUCCUCCCUAUGAUCAAGGAGGAUGCUUAGAAUUAUUUUUGUGGAUGCUGUGCUGCUGCGGGCUAUGUAGAUGCUGCUGCCCUCCACUCUUCGAGCCUGGUCCUCCUCCACCCUAAUGCUGCAUUUUUUUCCCUAUUAAGCCCACUUUGUGUGUUCGUUUUGUGUGGGAGGUAGAGUCUAGUAUUUAUUUGAUAUCGAUAUUCCAAUUUGGCUAAAUGGUCUUCUAUGUUAGCACAUUUAUAGGUGUUCUUGAAUAUCUCUGUAUUUUGUACGUCACUCCUGCAGUUUGUAACGUUGUAAAUUUUAUCAUUGUUCCUGCUCAACUAGUGCCAACGAUUUGGCUUCUUUA